GACGCUAGUGCCCGGAUCAGACGUCCGAGCGCUAGCAGUACCGACUCCUGUCCUCAGAAUCGAGGGGAGAGAGUCAUCCUCCAUUCACGCUGUCUAGAAAACGAGCAGAGGGGUAAUCAUCAAGUCAUCAUGGGUGCACAACUGUGUGGGGAGAAGAAGAUAGGGGGCAUAAGAGUAGGUACAAUAAUGGGCUUAUAGCCAAGCUAUUGCUAACGUGGAGGAGAGAAGAUAGGAGAGAGAUGAUAGCUUGGCUCUUAUGCAAGCACCUAGCGAGGAAUAGGAAAUAGAAGUUGUUUUAGCGGCAAGUAUGAGACAACUUAGUGUAUAACUUAGCUCUCGACGAGCUCGGUGCAUUGGUCAGAGCAGGAGAGGCGGAUCCAAGCUUGUGGUUGGUGAACUCUGCACUAGGGAAGGGCAAGGCCGAUGAGCAGGAGAAGCAACAGAGAGGCGGCACCUAGUGUGGGUGGCAGAAGGGUGGCGGUGGGCCCAGGAGCAGAGGGUGUGAAGGCUCCUCCUGGGGGCCCGAGCUCAUGGC
rnacentral:lncRNA from 1 species